UUGAAUUUAGUGAAUAAUAUCGUGAGGUGUUGAAAUGAACUUGUUAUUAGUCGCGGAGAGUGAAUGAGAUAAAAGUGUGAAGAUAAGCUUUCCAAUCGAAUCGUAUACCGAAUAUAUCGCGGAUAAUCUCAAGAAAUUGACAAGAAAGAUAAAAAAACAAACACCGAGUGGAUAUUGGAGUGAAAUUUAUAUUUUGUUUUUAUCGUCGUAUGAGAACACUCACGGAGUAAAAUAUAUUGUGUCAAAAAGAGGCUUUUUGUCUUCUUAAUUAGUAGUAACUUCUACCGAAUGUGUGUGCAGUUUUUUGCGAAAGAAUAAUAAAAAAUAAAAUAAAAUUGAAGUGAAAAUAUGCAAACAAUUGAUUGAAGGUUUAAAAGCCACGGUCAUCGAGCAGUUUCGCUUUAGUCAUACGGUGGAGAAAAUAAUGAGUACGUUGGACACUUAGGUCGAACGAGUGCCGAUACAAAAUUCAUUGUUUUUUGUGUGGAUUAAUUUCAAUCGAAAAACGGGUGAAAAAUCAAUUUUAAAAUCGAUUAAAACGCGAAAAAAGAACCGACACUCCACAACCGCAAAAAUGCCGACCAUAAUAUUGGAUCGUAUACCGUUGCCAAAUUUGAAAAUUUACACUUCGCUCAGUGUAUUGCUGGUGAGCUUUUGUGUUUAUUUUGCCGUCAAUUCGACCAAAGAUCCCGACUGGCGACUGUUGUUGAAUUCAACGUCGGUGGACGGUUAUGUCGAUGCGAAAUUGAUGGACGACGAAAGUCUGAUCAAAUUGACGAACGGUGAAUUGCACAGUGAAUUGAGUGAUGUGAUUGAUCGAAAUGUGUACAUGAACAUUUUGGCGGACGCGACACCAUUGCAUGGCAAUCAAACGCGAUCGCUGGGUGGACAGGUCAAGGAUGUUAUGGAUUUUAUGUUCCAGGAACCAGUUUGCGUUUGGACACUGAUCAACAA